rnacentral:misc_RNA from 1 species
GAAAUGCGAUAAGUAGUGUGAAUUGCAGAAUUCAGUGAAUCAUCGAAUCUUUGAACGCACAUUGCGCCCCUUGGUAUUCCAUGGGGCAUGCCUGUUCGAGCGUCAUUUGUACCCUCAAGCUCUGCUUGGUGUUGGGUGUUUGUCCCCGUCUCCGCGCGUGGACUCGCCCCAAAGUGAUUGGCAGCCGGCGUACUGGUCCCGGAGCGCAGCACAUGUCGCGCAAACGAGUGCCUUGGUACGGCGGCGUCCAUAAGCCCCUCUCUCACGCUCUUGACCUCGGAUCAGGUAGAGAUACGCGCUGAACUUAAGC